rnacentral:misc_RNA from 1 species
GGGAUGUUGGGUUUGUUCCUGUGCUGUUAACAUUUGGAAUUUGAAGGGUUGGGGUUUUUUCUGUUUGGAUUUGGAGGGUUUGUAUGGAUAAGGAUAAGUCUUCUUCAAGCCAUAUAGGAGGUUCGUUGCCUCCAUCAGGGAGAUACUCAUUAUUUUCACCUCCCGGUAGUAGCUCCAAUGUAAAGUCAGAACAACCUGGAUUAGCAAAUUUACCUCCCUUAGGACCUGGAAAUGCUUCAGAAUCAGGUCAUUUUGGUCAUGGUUUGUCGGCAGAUUCAAGCCUGUUUAGUCUUGAUAUAAGCCGAAUGUCUGAUAACCCACCAAGAAAAUUUGGUCAUAGGCGUGCCCACUCAGAAAUUCUUACUCUUCCUGAUGAUAUUAGCUUU